rnacentral:rRNA from 1 species
AUACGUAGGGGGCGAGCGUUGUCCGGAGUUAUUGGGCGUAAAGGGCGUGUAGGCGGCCUGUUAAGUCAGGUGUGAAAUUUCAGGGCUUAACCCUGAAACUGCGUUUGAAACUGGCAGGCUUGAGGACAGGAGAGGGAAGUGGAAUUCCCGGUGUAGCGGUGGAAUGCGUAGAUAUCGGGAGGAACACCAGUGGCGAAGGCGGCUUCCUGGACUGUACCUGACGCUGAGGCGCGAAAGCUAGGGGAGCAAACAGGAUUAGAUACCCUGGUAGUCCUAGCCGUAAACGAUGAGUGCUAGGUGUGGGAGGUUAAAAUCCUUCCGUGCCGGAGUUAACGCAAUAAGCACUCCGCCUGGGGAGUACGGCCGCAAGGCUAAA